AAAAUUAUUGGAAUACAAAAUAUUUAUUGAAAUACAAAAAAACAAACUUUGUUGGAACAUUUAUUUAUAUCAAAGAAAAUAUACAUAUAAUUAUUAUAAAAUAAUAGAUGAUAUUACAGCACUCAACAUUCUGCCAUGUGGUGUGUGGACAGUGUGGUGUGUGGACUAUGUCUUGUGUGGACAGUGUGGUGUGUGGACCAUGUGGUGUGUGGAC